GACGAACGCUGGCGGCGUGCUUAACACAUGCAAGUCGAACGGAAAGGCCUGCUUUCCCUUGUGGAUUGCGGGUACUCGAGUGGCGAACGGGUGAGUAACACGUGAGUGAUCUGCCCCCAACUUGGGUAUAAGCCUGGGAAACUGGGUCUAAUUCCCGAUAGGACUGCAGGGUGGUGCCUGUGGUGGAAAACGAUUUUCUAGUGGUUGGGGAUGAGCUCGCGGCCUAUCAGCUUGUUGGUGGGGUAAUGGCCUACCAAGGCGGCGACGGGUAGCCGGCCUGGGAGGGUGGACGGCGACAGUGGGACUGAGAGACGGCCAAGACUACUACGGGAGGCAGCAGUGGGGAAGAUUGCACAAUGGGCGGAAGCCUGAGGCAGCGACGCCGCGUGGGGGAUGACGGCCUUCGGGUUGUAAACUCCUUUCGACAGCGAGGAAGCCACCUGGUUGGAAGGGUGGUGACGGUAGUGGUAGAAGAAGCACCGGCUAACUACGUG
rnacentral:rRNA from 1 species